rnacentral:rRNA from 1 species
GGACGAACGCUGGCGGCGUGCCUAAUACAUGCAAGUCGAACGAACUCUGGUAUUGAUUGGUGCUUGCAUCAUGAUUUACAUUUGAGUGAGUGGCGAACUGGUGAGUAACACGUGGGAAACCUGCCCAGAAGCGGGGGAUAACACCUGGAAACAGAUGCUAAUACCGCAUAACAACUUGGACCGCAUGGUCCGAGUUUGAAAGAUGGCUUCGGCUAUCACUUUUGGAUGGUCCCGCGGCGUAUUAGCUAGAUGGUGGGGUAACGGCUCACCAUGGCAAUGAUACGUAGCCGACCUGAGAGGGUAAUCGGCCACAUUGGGACUGAGACACGGCCCAAACUCCUACGGGAGGCAGCAGUAGGGAAUCUUCCACAAUGGACGAAAGUCUGAUGGAGCAACGCCGCGUGAGUGAAGAAGGGUUUCGGCUCGUAAAACUCUGUUGUUAAAGAAGAACAUAUCUGAGAGUAACUGUUCAGGUGUUGACGGUAUUUAACCAGAAAGCCACGGCUAACUACGUGCCAGCAGCCGCGGUAAUACGUAGGUGGCAAGCGUUGUCCGGAUUUAUUGGGCGUAAAGCGAGCGCAGGCGGUUUUUUAAGUCUGAUGUGAAAGCCUUCGGCUCAACCGAAGAAGUGCAUCGGAAACUGGGAAACUUGAGUGCAGAAGAGGACAGUGGAACUCCAUGUGUAGCGGUGAAAUGCGUAGAUAUAUGGAAGAACACCAGUGCGAAGGGCGGCUGUCUGGUCUGUAACUGACGCUGAGGCUCGAAAGUAUGGGUAGCAAACAGGAUUAGAUACCCUGGUAGUCCAUACCGUAAACGAUGAAUGCUAAGUGUUGGAGGGUUUCCGCCCUUCAGUGCUGCAGCUAACGCAUUAAGCAUUCCGCCUGGGGAGUACGGCCGCAAGGCUGAAACUCAAAGGAAUUGACGGGGGCCCGCACAAGCGGUGGAGCAUGUGGUUUAAUUCGAAGCUACGCGAAGAACCUUACCAGGUCUUGACAUACUAUGCAAAUCUAAGAGAUUAGACGUUCCCUUCGGGGACAUGGAUACAGGUGGUGCAUGGUUGUCGUCAGCUCGUGUCGUGAGAUGUUGGGUUAAGUCCCGCAACGAGCGCAACCCUUAUUAUCAGUUGCCAGCAUUAAGUUGGGCACUCUGGUGAGACUGCCGGUGACAAACCGGAGGAAGGUGGGGAUGACGUCAAAUCAUCAUGCCCCUUAUGACCUGGGCUACACACGUGCUACAAUGGAUGGUACAACGAGUUGCGAACUCGCGAGAGUAAGCUAAUCUCUUAAAGCCAUUCUCAGUUCGGAUUGUAGGCUGCAACUCGCCUACAUGAAGUCGGAAUCGCUAGUAAUCGCGGAUCAGCAUGCCGCGGUGAAUACGUUCCCGGGCCUUG